rnacentral:tRNA from 1 species
GGGCAGGUGGCCGAGUGGACAAUGGCAUCAGACUGUAAAUCUGACGGCUCAGCCUUCGGAGGUUCAAAUCCUUCCCUGCCCACCA